rnacentral:rRNA from 1 species
UACAGAGGUCUCAAGCGUUGUUCGGAUUCAUUGGGCGUAAAGGGUGCGUAGGCGGCUCGUUAAGUCGGGUGUGAAAUCUCGGAGCUUAACUCCGAAACUGCAUUCGAUACUGCCGUGCUUGAGGACUGGAGAGGAGACUGGAAUUUACGGUGUAGCGGUGAAAUGCGUAGAUAUCGUAAGGAAGACCAGUGGCGAAGGCGGGGCUCUGGACAGUUACUGACGCUGAGGCACGAAGGUCAGGGGAGCAAACGGG